rnacentral:tRNA from 1 species
GCCCCCUUAGCUCAGGGGAUAGAGCACCGGCCUCCGGAGCCGGGUGCGCUGGUUCGAAUCCAGCAGGGGGCG